rnacentral:rRNA from 1 species
CCUACGGGUGGCAGCAGUGAGGAAUAUUGGUCAAUGGGCGCGAGCCUGAACCAGCCAAGUAGCGUGAAGGAUGACUGCCCUACGGGUUGUAAACUUCUUUUAUAAAGGAAUAAAGUGAGGCACGUGUGCGAGUUUGUAUGUACCAUAUGAAUAAGGAUCGGCUAACUCCGUGCCAGCAGCCGCGGUAAUACGGAGGAUCCGAGCGUUAUCCGGAUUUAUUGGGUUUAAAGGGAGCGUAGUUGGGUUGUUAAGUCAGUUGGGAAAGUUUGCGGCUCAACCGUAAAAUUGCAAUUGAUACUGGCAGUCUUGAGUACAGUUGAGGUAGGCGGACUUCGUGGUGUAGCUGU